AGUGAACGCUGGCGGCGUGCUUAACACAUGCAAGUCGAACGAGAACGGGUUAUAGCUUGCUAUAAUUGUCAGCUAAGUGGCGCACGGGUGAGUAAUGUAUAGGUAAUAUGCCUCUUACUAAGGGAUAACAAAUGGAAACGUUUGCUAAUACCUUAUACUCCUUUUAAACAAAAGUUUAAAAGGGAAAGAUUUAUUGGUAAGAGAUUAGCCUGUAUUGUAUCAGUUAGUUGGUGGGGUAAUGGCUUACCAAGACUAUGACACAUAACUGGUUUGAGAGGAUGAUCAGUCACACUGGAACUGAGACACGGUCCAGACUCCUACGGGAGGCAGCAGUGGGGAAUAUUGCACAAUGGACGAAAGUCUGAUGCAGCAACGCCGCGUGGAGGAUGACACAUUUCGGUGCGUAAACUCCUUUUAUAUGAGAAGAUAAUGACGGUAUUAUAUGAAUAAGCACCGGCUAACUCCGUGCCAGCAGCCGCCGUAAAAC
rnacentral:rRNA from 1 species